AAUUAAUCUGCUCUUUAGCAAAAUUGUAAAGGGUUAUGAGAUGUUUUUGCUUUUUAAAAGUUUUUGAGUCAUCAUUUCAGCAGAAUAAAUAACUUACGGUAAUCUGAAAUUCUAUUUCAUAACAUCAAGUGUUUUAAACGUCUAACAUUUAACAGGCUCCCAAAAAUCAAACAUCAGCUUCAAAAAUCGUCUUUCCUGACCCCUAGCUUUUGAUGCUGCAGUGGGGCCCUGGAGCAUCUAGAAGAGAGGUAAACAGGAUUACCAGAUGUGUUUAAGUACAUGGGAUUGCUAAAAUAAUGUUUAAUCUUCUUCAGUUUAUACUUUAGGGAAGAAUAUUAAUACAAGUCCCAAAAUUCUAUGGGAUUUCUAAAAUUCUAUUGUGUGAGUAUAUGCUAUCAAUCAUAUAAAGCUGUUAUGUUAAGUUAUUGUAAACCACAGAGAUGACCAAAUUUUUUUGCCAAUCGUGUUUUAACUGUAACUACCCUGGACAUUUUUUUAUUCACAGAUAAUUGUUGUCUUGUUUUGGCCCUCUUCAAAGAUGGUUUCUAAUCAGCUAUAGAACUUUGAUAGGCACUCUCAAAUGCAGAUUUCUGAUAACCUUGGAAAUUUUGACAUUGGAAUCAAGGAAAAAUAUACAGAUCUCAUAAAGAGCUGAAAUGUUCAUGAAUAUCAAACAAAACAAGAGUUAACUGAAUAAGAUGAACUAAUGUAAUAAAAAGGCCAUCAAACUCCAAACAACCAUGCAAGAAAGCCUUCAGUGAUGGCCCCUUUUUUCUGGGGACUCUUAGAUAGGCUUCUGAAGGAGCUCUGACUGCCAUUUUCCCAAGACAGCACCCUCCAUCAGCAAGAAGCUGUUAAGGAUUGUCUUCAUCUUUAUCCAUGUACUUAUUCUAAUGAGAGUUAAAUGUACUUCUUUAAUGAGGGGAAUGAUAGAGUUAGAAGAUAGCCAAAUCUCACCCUGGUCCUUGUGCACAGGGGGCUUGCCUAAACAUGCCCAAGGUGAAAAAUUCUGUCUCAUGUGUGUUAAGGGAGAUAAAUCAAUGUGGAGUGGCUCAGACUAAGGGCCCACGUGCACACUGGGAGAAUGGGGUGGAGACACCAGGAAGUCACAUUUUAUGCAGGGGGUAAGAACCUGGCAUCUUCAGCUCAUGUGUGAUGGUCUGGUAUUUAGUCUGUAAGGUGGGAUCCUUUUGGCAGGACCUCCUUCUUUUGUGCUGUGAGCCUUCUUUUAAUAAAUUCCACUCUCCUCAGCUUUCAAUUUGUCCACAUGACUAAUUUUUCCUGGCUGUGAGACAAUAACCCAG
rnacentral:lncRNA from 10 species